UACAGAGGGUGCGAGCGUUGUCCGGAAUUACUGGGCGUAAAGGGCGCGUAGGCGGCUUGAUAAGGUUGAGGUGAAAGCCCGGGGCUCAACCCCGGGUCGGCCGUGGCAACUGUCGAGCUGGAGCACUGUAGAGGCAGGUGGAAUUCCGGGUGUAGCGGUGGAAUGCGUAGAGAUCCGGAAGAACACCGGUGGCGAAGGCGGCCUGCUGGGCAGUGGCUGACGCUGAGGCGCGACAGCUAGGGGAGCAAACAGG
rnacentral:rRNA from 1 species